GGUUAAGCGACUAAGCGUACACGGUGGAUGCCCUGGCAGUCAGAGGCGAUGAAGGACGUGCUAAUCUGCGAUAAGCGUCGGUAAGGUGAUAUGAACCGUUAUAACCGGCGAUUUCCGAAUGGGGAAACCCAGUGUGAUUCGUCACACUAUCAUUAACUGAAUCCAUAGGUUAAUGAGGCGAACCGGGGGAACUGAAACAUCUAAGUACCCCGAGGAAAAGAAAUCAACCGAGAUUCCCCCAGUAGCGGCGAGCGAACGGGGAGGAGCCCAGAGCCUGAAUCAGUGUGUGUGUUAGUGGAAGCGUCUGGAAAGGCGCGCGAUACAGGGUGACAGCCCCGUACACAAAAAUGCACAUGCUGUGAGCUCGAUGAGUAGGGCGGGACACGUGGUAUCCUGUCUGAAUAUGGGGGGACCAUCCUCCAAGGCUAAAUACUCCUGACUGACCGAUAGUGAACCAGUACCGUGAGGGAAAGGCGAAAAGAACCCCGGCGAGGGGAGUGAAAAAGAACCUGAAACCGUGUACGUACAAGCAGUAGGAGCCUCUUUAUGGGGUGACUGCGUACCUUUUGUAUAAUGGGUCAGCGACUUAUAUUCUGUAGCAAGGUUAACCGUAUAGGGGAGCCGUAGGGAAACCGAGUCUUAACUGGGCGAAUGAGUUGCAGGGUAUAGACCCGAAACCCGGUGAUCUAUCCAUGGGCAGGUUGAAGGUUGGGUAACACUAACUGGAGGACCGAACCGACUAAUGUUGAAAAAUUAGCGGAUGACUUGUGGCUGGGGGUGAAAGGCCAAUCAAACCGGGAGAUAGCUGGUUCUCCCCGAAAGCUAUUUAGGUAGCGCCUCGUGAAUUCAUCUCCGGGGGUAGAGCACUGUUUCGGCAAGGGGGUCAUCCCGACUUACCAACCCGAUGCAAACUGCGAAUACCGGAGAAUGUUAUCACGGGAGACACACGGCGGGUGCUAACGUCCGUCGUGAAGAGGGAAACAACCCAGACCGCCAGCUAAGGUCCCAAAGUCAUGGUUAAGUGGGAAACGAUGUGGGAAGGCCCAGACAGCCAGGAUGUUGGCUUAGAAGCAGCCAUCAUUUAAAGAAAGCGUAAUAGCUCACUGGUCGAGUCGGCCUGCGCGGAAGAUGUAACGGGGCUAAACCAUGCACCGAAGCUGCGGCAGCGACACUAUGUGUUGUUGGGUAGGGGAGCGUUCUGUAAGCCUGCGAAGGUGUACUGUGAGGUAUGCUGGAGGUAUCAGAAGUGCGAAUGCUGACAUAAGUAACGAUAAAGCGGGUGAAAAGCCCGCUCGCCGGAAGACCAAGGGUUCCUGUCCAACGUUAAUCGGGGCAGGGUGAGUCGACCCCUAAGGCGAGGCCGAAAGGCGUAGUCGAUGGGAAACAGGUUAAUAUUCCUGUACUUGGUGUUACUGCGAAGGGGGGACGGAGAAGGCUAUGUUGGCCGGGCGACGGUUGUCCCGGUUUAAGCGUGUAGGCUGGUUUUCCAGGCAAAUCCGGAAAAUCAAGGCUGAGGCGUGAUGACGAGGCACUACGGUGCUGAAGCAACAAAUGCCCUGCUUCCAGGAAAAGCCUCUAAGCAUCAGGUAACAUCAAAUCGUACCCCAAACCGACACAGGUGGUCAGGUAGAGAAUACCAAGGCGCUUGAGAGAACUCGGGUGAAGGAACUAGGCAAAAUGGUGCCGUAACUUCGGGAGAAGGCACGCUGGCGGUAGGUAAAGUCCCUCGCGGACGGAGCUGAAGCCAGUCGAAGAUACCAGCUGGCUGCAACUGUUUAUUAAAAACACAGCACUGUGCAAACACGAAAGUGGACGUAUACGGUGUGACGCCUGCCCGGUGCUGGAAGGUUAAUUGAUGGGGUCAGCCGUAAGGCGAAGCUCCUGAUCGAAGCCCCG
rnacentral:rRNA from 1 species